rnacentral:rRNA from 1 species
CUCCUACGGGAAGCAGCAGUGGGGAAUAUUGCGCAAUGGGCGGAAGCCUGACGCAGCGACGCCGCGUGAGGGAUGACGGCCUUCGGGUUGUAAACCUCUUUCAGCACAGACCAAGGCCGUGUUUUUGCGCGGUUGAGUGUAUGUGCAGAAGAAGCACCGGCUAACUACGUGCCAGCAGCCGCGGUAAUAC